UUCUUUCACGGUUUUCUUCGUGUCUUUUGAAGCUCUGUUGUUACGACAUACACAUUUAGGAUGGUGAUGUCUCCUUGAUGGCUUGACCCCUUCAUCUUUAGGGGUUAUCAUUUGGCCUCCUGAACCAGUUCCUAGAGAUAGCAGUCUGAAUUCCUACCCAUCUGCCUGGCUACUAUGGAUAAUAGUUCACCUCGUGGUCCCAAUAUGGCUGCUGCAAAUCCAGCCAGGAUGACUACGUUCCAGGCAGAAAGAAGGUAAGCAGAAGGGCAAAGAGCAUGCCUCCCAGGAAACGAAGAAAUGAAGCGGAGGCUGAGACACCACUGCGUUCGGGAGACCGUGUUCUGAAAUCCAAGGAAAUGGGUCCUUUGCACACUUGAGACCGAGUGGGCUUUCAAGAUGGGCCCCUUGGCAGCCUGGGGAGCAGGAGGAGCCUUGCUGGGAACGCUGUCACGGGAGGAAGGGGCAAGGACAGGGGCUGCAAGCCUUCUCGGCAGCUCUCUGGGACCAGCGGCAUUUCACCCGCAAUCGCAGUUCUAGGAAACGAGGGCGACCAUUGUGUGCAUUUCCUUCCCCAGUGAAGGGUCCAGACGCUGCAAACAUGCACGUAGGCCCACACACGUACGUGCACAC
rnacentral:lncRNA from 1 species